AGACGUCCUACGGGAGGCAGCAGUGGGGAAUAUUGCACAAUGGGGGAAACCCUGAUGCAGCGACGCCGCGUGGAGGAAGAAGGUCUUCGGAUUGUAAACUCCUGUUGUUGAGGAAGAUAAUGACGGUACUCAACAAGGAAGUGACGGCUAACUAACGUGC
rnacentral:rRNA from 1 species